rnacentral:pre_miRNA from 1 species
CGUCAACCAUCCAGCUGUUUGAGGUGAUGCAAACAAACAUCUGGUUGGUUGAGAGA